CCUACGGGAGGCAGCAGUAGGGAAUCUUCCACAAUGGGCGAAAGCCUGAUGGAGCAACGCCGCGUGGGUGAAGAAGGUCUUCGGAUCGUAAAACCCUGUUGUUAGAGAAGAAAGUGCGUGAGCGUAACUGUUCACGUUUCGACGGUAUCUAACCAGAAAGCCACGGCUAACUACGUGCCAGCAGCCGCGGUAAUACGUAGGUGGCAAGCGUUAUCCGGAUUUAUUGGGCGUAAAGGGAACGCAGGCGGUCUUUUAAGUCUGAUGUGAAAGCCUUCGGCUUAACCGGAGUAGUGCAUUGGAAACUGGGAGACUUGAGUGCAGGAGAGGAGAGUGGAACUCCAUGUGUAGCGGUGAAAUGCGUAGAUAUAUGGAAGAACACCAGUGGCGAAAGCGGCUUUCUGGUCUGUAACUGACGCUGAGGUUCGAAAGCGUGGGUAGCAAACAGGAUUAGAUACCCCAGUAGUC
rnacentral:rRNA from 1 species